GGAGGGAGCAAGCGUUACUCGGAAUUAUUGGGCGUAAAGGGCGCGUAGGCGAUCUGACAAGUCCUGUGUGAAAGCCCAGAGCUUAACUCUGGAAGUGCACAGGAGACUGCCUGGAUUUGAGUUCAGGAGAGGAAAGCAGAAUUCCCGGUGUAGCGGUGAAAUGCGUAGAGAUCGGGAGGAAUACCAGUGGCGAAGGCGGCUUUCUGGACUGACACUGACGCUGAGGCGCGAAAGCCAGGGGAGCAAACGGGAUUAGAUACCCCGGUAGUCCUGGCUGUAAACGAUGUGCACUUGGUGUGAGCCGGUUUUCGGUUCGUGCCGAAGUUAACGCAAUAAGUGCACCGCCUGGGGAGUACGGUCGCAAGGCUGAA
rnacentral:rRNA from 1 species